rnacentral:lncRNA from 1 species
GAUCUCUGACCUGCGUUCUUAGCUGGGACGUCGAGUUCUCCCAGGAUAAUUAUCGACCAGCUGCCAUGUAAGACGUGCCUUUCAGCUUCCACCAUGAUUGUGAGGUCUCUCCAGCCACAUGUAACUGAAGGAGUAGCCACUAUUCAUGCCAUUGUCAAAACCUCAUGGCAACAAAACUUCCAGGGCUGGAAUUGCAAAGAUGAUUACAAAGGGGAGCUCCACAAUCAGGUGUUCCAAGAUAAUGAAUACUUCCAUAGCAACAAAAGUCUGACAAUAAACGGUUACCUUGAUUUUCACAUUUUCAAAGAAAAAUCCCUCAAUGGCAACUAGACCAGAAGUCUCAACACUGAAUAUGCAAUAAUGGCUACAAGGAUAUCAAAGUGGAGUGUGAACCAGCCAGGAGGAGAACGAAUAACACCCAAAGACAAAAAAGGACUUGUUGUCUUUUCUGGGGAAAGGGUUAGUGUGCUUUUCAGUUGCAUGUGAGAUAGUUGUAGCAUAGUAGGAAGACAUAUGACUUUGUUAUUGUUAUUUCAUAUGAAGUAUGGUUUAAGGAGAUAUGUAUAGAUGCCAAGUUAGCAAGAAUUGGACCGUGGUAUCUUGUCAACUUGACUAGGUUGAAUUACAUUUUUCAGAAUUCUAUUUCAUGUAAGUUUUCCAUUAGGGAGGGUCAGGAGAAAGACCUUCUUUUAAAAGACUAUGGGGCAGAAUGAUAUAUUUAAAUAUCUACAUGUAGGUAGAUAGGUAGAUAGAUAAACAUACAGACAGAAAUAUCUCUGUCUUUGUUCAGAUAGAAUAGAUAUCUGAACAGAGAUAGUUCAGAUAGUUCACAUAUCUGAACAGAGAUAGAGAUAUCUCUGAAUAUAUCCACAUAUAGAUAUAUUUAUAUCUAUCUUCCCUUUCUAACUACCAGAGCUAUGAACUCAAGAUUUAGUAUAAAUGUGAUGAAAACAGUCUUACAGAAACUGCCUAACCAGAUCAGCUCCACAAUUGUUCUAUACAGUCAAAUCCCUACAAUAAAUCAUUUUACAAAUC